CCAGACUCCUACGGGAGGCAGCAGUGGGGAAUAUUGCACAAUGGGGGAAACCCUGAUGCAGCGACGCCGCGUGAGUGAAGAAGUAAUUCGUUAUGUAAAGCUCUAUCAGCAGGGAAGAAAAUGACGGUACCUGACUAAGAAGCCCCGGCUAACUACGUGCCAGCAGCCGCGGUAAUACGUAGGGGGCAAGCGUUAUCCGGAUUUACUGGGUGUAAAGGGAGCGUAGACGGCAUGGCAAGUCAGAUGUGAAAGCCCGGGGCUCAACCCCGGGACUGCAUUUGAAACUGUCAGGCUGGAGUGCAGGAGAGGCAGGCGGAAUUCCUAGUGUAGCGGUGAAAUGCGUAGAUAUUAGGAGGAACACCGGUGGCGAAGGCGGCCUGCUGGACUGUAACUGACGUUGAGGCUCGAAAGCGUGGGGAGCAAACAGGAUUAGAUACCCCAGUAACC
rnacentral:rRNA from 1 species